CGAAUGUCAACAUCCGUUUAAGGGUAAACGGAAGUCGCCAUCCGUUUUAACGGUUUUACAAAAGUAUUACUAACCUGGACUCCAAGAGGAUCGCUGCUGAGGUUGGAUAGAACACCACCACACCAAUGCUGAGGUUGGAUAAAACACCACCACACCAAUGUAAUGCAUAAAUAUAAUAAUUUAAGGACAAAUUCUUUCAGAAGAAAUCGAUAUCUCAAUUAUCACUUCAAUUAUCACUUGAAAUACAAGAAGAAUGGGAGAUAUCUCAAUUAUCACUGCUGAGGUUGGAUAGAACACCACCACACCAAUGUAAUGCAGAGAUAUAAUAAUUUAAGGACAAAUUCUUUCAGAAGAAACCGAUAUCUCAAUUAUCACUUGAAUUACAAGAAGAAUGGGAGAAAUAAUUUCUAGAAAAAUAGAACAAAAAAUUCGUGGGAAGAAAGCGUAAAGAUGAAAACAUGAAGAUAAAAAAAAUAAAAAUAAAUAGGUUAUAUAGGGAUGGGAGAAUAAAAUUAUAAAAUUGUAUUUCUAAAUAUAAAUUUUUGCUAAAUGAUAAAAUUGGAAUAGAAAAAAUAAAGGAAAAAAUAAAAAUGGAAUGGGGGGUGGGAUUGGAAUUGGGGAGGUACAGGGAGUAACCCCCGAAAAGUUUAAUUGGUAUGUGUGUGUAUAUCCCACACAAUUAAAUACUAUAGCUUACGUGAUUAUUCUGCUUUAUUUUAUUUUUUCAUCUCCUUCCAUUUUAUUUUAUUUUUUUCCAUUUUCUUCCAUGAACCAACCUGACUUAAUUAUUUCAAAAUCAUAUUUCAACCAUAAUGCCAACCUAACAAUUUUUUAAUGGUUUCUUAGAGCGCUCUCUCUCCCCUCCUCGAUUUAUUAUCAACUUUAC
rnacentral:lncRNA from 1 species